UACGGAGGGUGCAAGCGUUGCUCGGAAUUAUUGGGCGUAAAGGGUAUGUAGGUGGUCUCAUUUGUCUGGGGUGAAAGCCUUGAGCUUAACUCAAGAAGUGCCCCAGAAACGGUGAGACUGGAGUCCUGGAGAGGGUCGUGGAAUUCCCGGUGUAGCGGUGAAAUGCGUAGAGAUCGGGAGGAACACCAGAGGCGAAAGCGGCGACCUGGACAGGAACUGACACUCAACUACGAAAGCGUGGGGAGCAAACAGG
rnacentral:rRNA from 1 species